AAGGUUUUUAACCAGGUUUUCCGAAGGAAAAAACUGGUUAUUAGAUUGGCGAAUGCGGGCGGGCUGGCUGGCUGGCGGGCUGGCUGGCUGGCGGGCUGGCGGAAUAAGCUUGUCCGGGCCAUAACUAUGUCGUUCAUUGUCAGAUUUUAAAAUCAUUUGGCACAUUUGUUCACCAUCAUUGGACGGUGUGUCGCGCGAAAUAAUUACGUCGAUGUCUCCAAGGUCAAGGUCACACUUUGAGUUCAAAGGUCAAAAAUGGCCAUAAAUGAGCUUGUCCUGGCCAUAACUAUGUCAUUCAUUGUGAGAUUUUAAAAUCAUUUGGCACAUUUGUACACCAUCAUGGGACGGUGUGUCCCACGAAAGAAUCACGUCAAUAUCUCCAAUGUCAAGGUCGCCACGACUAAAAAUAGAUUUAAAAAAAAAAAAAAAUUACAAAGGGGGUUAAUUUUUUUUGGUCAUUUCAAAAGUU